CAAGUUUGGUACUGAAUGUGAUAUACAUAAAGAAAAUACUUAAAUACAAAGUAAAAUAAAAGUCGAAAGCAUUAUACACCAAAUAAAACAAAUAGGUGAAUUAUCCUAUCGAACAAAAUAAAUUAUAGUUCAUAUGUCACUAAAUUAAAAAUACAUUAAAUGACCAGCACAUUUGGCAUUCUCGUUAAAUGUAAUAUUGUGUAUAUAUUAUAACAUCACUUUAAUUUAGACGUUUGCUACAUUAUUGUUUAUUUAACCAGUAUUUGUUUUUGCCUUUCUAUCAUGAUCUAUUAUAUAGGUACUUAUAUAUUGUUUU